rnacentral:rRNA from 1 species
UACGUAGGAGGCAAGCGUUGUCCGGAAUUACGUGGGCGUAAAGAGCGUGUAGGCGGUAGAGUAAGUCUGUAGUGAAAGCGCAUGGCUCAACUAUGCGAGGUCUAUGGAAACUGCUCAACUGGAGGAAGGUAGAGGAAGGUGGAAUUCCCGGUGUAGUGGUGAAAUGCGUAGAUAUCGGGAGGAACACCAGCGGCGAAGGCGGCCUUCUGGGCCUAUCCUGACGCUGAGACGGCGAAAGGCCAGGGUAGCGAACGGG